rnacentral:rRNA from 1 species
UACAGGGGGUGCAAGCGUUAAUCGGAAUUACUGGGCGUAAAGCGCGCGUAGGUGGUUCGUUAAGUUGGAUGUGAAAUCCCCGGGCUCAACCUGGGAACUGCAUCCAAAACUGGCGAGCUAGAGUAUGGUAGAGGGUGGUGGAAUUUCCUGUGUAGCGGUGAAAUGCGUAGAUAUAGGAAGGAACACCAGUGGCGAAGGCGACCACCUGGACUGAUACUGACACUGAGGUGCGAAAGCGUGGGGAGCAAACAGG